rnacentral:rRNA from 1 species
UACGGAGGUUGCAAGCGUUGUUCGGAAUGACUGGGCGUAAAGGGAGCGCAGGCGGCUUGUUAAGUCUGGAGUGAAAGCCCGGGGCUCAACCCCGGCGGGUCUUCGGAUACUGGCAAGCUAGAGUACGGAAGAGGAAAGCGGAAUUCCAGGUGUAGCGGUGAAAUGCGUAGAUAUCUGGAGGAACACCGGUGGCGAAAGCGGCUUUCUGGUCCGAUACUGACGCUCAUGCUCGAAAGCGUGGGGAGCAAAC